ACUGCGAGUGAAGAGGGAAAAGCUCAAAUUUAAAAUCUGGCAGCUUCCUGUCCGAGUUGUAAUUUAGAGAAGUGUUACCCGUGUUGGACCGUGUAUAAGUCUCCUGGAAUGGAGCGUCAUAGAGGGUGAGAAUCCCGUCUUUGACACGGACUACCAAUGCAUUGUGGUGCGCUCUCGAAGAGUCGAGUUGUUUGGGAAUGCAGCUCUAAAUGGGUGGUAAAUUCCAUCUAAAGCUAAAUAUUGGCGAGAGACCGAUAGCGAACAAGUACCGUGAGGGAAAGAUGAAAAGAACUUUGGAAAGAGAGUUAAACAGUACGUGAAAUUGCUGAAAGGGAAACGCUUGAAGUCAGUCGCGUUGGCCGGGGAUCAGCCUUGCUUUUGUGAGGUGUACUUCCUGGUUGACGGGUCAGCAUCAGUUUCGACCACUGGAAAAAGACUUGGGGAAUGUGGCAACUUCGGUUGUGUUAUAGCCCUUUGUCGUAUACAGUGAUUGGGACUGAGGAACUCAGCACGCCGCAAGGCCGGGUUUCGACCACGUUCGUGCUUAGGAUGCUGGCAAAAUGGCUUUAAUCGACCCGUCUUGAAACACGGACCAAGGAGUCUAACAUGCUUGCGAGUGUUUGGGUGGAAAACCCGAGCGCGUAAUGAAAGUGAAAGUUGGGAUCUCUGUCGUGGAGAGCACCGACGCCCGGACCAGAAGUUUACUGACGGAUCUGCGGUAGAGCACGUAUGUUGGGACCCGAAAGAUGGUGAACUAUGCCUGAAUAGGGUGAAGCCAGAGGAAACUCUGGUGGAGGCUCGUAGCGAUUCUGACGUGCAAAUCGAUCGUCGAAUUUGGGUAUAGGGCGAAAGACUAAUCGA
rnacentral:rRNA from 1 species